ACCAGUGUGGUGUAGUGGUUUGAGUGUUGGACUAUGACUCUGGAGACUAGGGUUCGAUUCCCAGCUCAGACA
rnacentral:tRNA from 1 species